rnacentral:rRNA from 2 species
GGGUUGUGAGGUUAAGCGACUAAGCGUACACGGUGGAUGCCCUGGCAGUCAGAGGCGAUGAAGGACGUGCUAAUCUGCGAUAAGCGCCGGUAAGGUGAUAUGAACCGUUAUAACCGGCGAUUUCCGAAUGGGGAAACCCAGUGUGACUCGUCACACUAUCAUUAACUGAAUCCAUAGGUUAAUGAGGCGAACCGGGGGAACUGAAACAUCUAAGUACCCCGAGGAAAAGAAAUCAACCGAGAUUCCCCCAGUAGCGGCGAGCGAACGGGGAGGAGCCCAGAGCCUGAAUCAGCAUGUGUGUUAGUGGAAGCGUCUGGAAAGGCGCGCGAUACAGGGUGACAGCCCCGUACACAAAAGCGCAUGUGCUGUGAGCUCGAUGAGUAGGGCGGGACACGUGGUAUCCUGUCUGAAUAUGGGGGGACCAUCCUCCAAGGCUAAAUACUCCUGACUGACCGAUAGUGAACCAGUACCGUGAGGGAAAGGCGAAAAGAACCCCGGCGAGGGGAGUGAAAAAGAACCUGAAACCGUGUACGUACAAGCAGUGGGAGCACCCUUUGGGGUGUG